rnacentral:rRNA from 1 species
GAUGAACGCUGGCGGCGUGCCUAAUACAUGCAAGUCGAACGCGAGCACUUGUGCUCGAGUGGCGAACGGGUGAGUAAUACAUAAGUAACCUGCCCUAGACAGGGGGAUAACUAUUGGAAACGAUAGCUAAGGACCGCAUAGGUACGGACACUGCAUGGUGACCGUAUUAAAAGUGCCUCAAAGCACUGGUAGAAGGAUGGGACUUAUGGCGCAUUAGCUGGGUUGGCGGGGUAACGGCCCACCAAGGCGACGAUGCGUAGCCGACCUGAGAGGGUGGCCGGCCACGACUGGGGACUGAGACACGGCCCAGACUCCUACGGGAGGCAGCAGUAGGGAAUUUUUCGGGC